CGGGCUGUGGCGCAGCUUGGUAGCGCACUACCUUGGGGUGGUAGGGGUCGUGGGUUCAAAUCCCGCCAGCCCGACCA
rnacentral:tRNA from 3 species